rnacentral:rRNA from 1 species
GACGAACGCUGGCGGCGUGCUUAACACAUGCAAGUCGAACGGAAAGGCCCUGCUUUUGUGGGGUGCUCGAGUGGCGAACGGGUGAGUAACACGUGAGUAACCUGCCCUUGACUUUGGGAUAACUUCAGGAAACUGGGGCUAAUACCGGAUAGGAGCUCCUGCUGCAUGGUGGGGGUUGGAAAGUUUCGGCGGUUGGGGAUGGACUCGCGGCUUAUCAGCUUGUUGGUGGGGUAGUGGCUUACCAAGGCUUUGGCGGGUAGCCGGACUGAGAGGGUGACAGGCAACAUAGGGAAUGAGAUACGGCCAAGAGGCAUACGGGAGGCAGGAGUGGGGAAUGUAGGAAAAAGGGCGGAAGGAUGAUGGAGCAACGCCGGGUGGGGGAUGACGGCCUUCGGGUUGUAAAACGAGUGCGACUGUGACGAAGCGUGAGUGACGGUAAUGGGUAAAGAAGCACCGGCUAACUACGU